AAUCAACGCUGGCGGCGUGCCUCAGACAUGCAAGUCGAACGCGAAAGGCUCCUUCGGGGGCCGAGUAGAGUGGCGCACGGGUGAGUAACACGUAGGUAAUUUGUCCUUUGGGUUGGGGGAAGUAAACUCAGGGAAAACUUAGAGCUAAUACCGCAUAAUGCAGCGGCUCGACAUCGAGACAGUUGUUAAAGCGGGGGAGUCGCAAGACCUCGCGCCUGAAGAGAAGCCUGCGGCAGAUUAGCUAGUUGGUAGGGUAAUGGCCUACCAAGGCGACGAUCUGUAACCGGCCUGAGAGGGCGGUCGGUCACACUGACACUGACAUAC
rnacentral:rRNA from 1 species